ACUUCAACAGUUCUAGCCCCUAAAACUUGACCAACCUCCAACUGAUCAGACCCUCCUUCAGAUCUAAGUCUGAACCUCUCAGAAUUUUUUUCUGAUCUUGACCUCCUUUUUUAGGACCCCUUAAAUCCUUUGUCCUAAUAGGAAUAGGCUUGUCUUAAAAGAACAGACCUUGUCCUAAAGGAACUAGAAUUGUAAGAGAGGGAGAGAGAAAGUGGAUAGGAUUUUGUAGGAAUUGAAUG
rnacentral:lncRNA from 1 species